UGCUUCUUUUGCUAUUGAAAGUGUAUGAUCCAACCUCAAAGUUUUUGCUAGAAGCAAUGAGAUUGGAAGAUCAAGCACAGGGUAUCAAAAGCUGGACUGGUUGUGAAGCAAUGUACAUACAACAAAUCGCUUGAAUUACUGAUCCUUCCUUGGAAAAUAAAAUGUCCCAGUAGUAAAUCAGGUGUAUGAGCCUGAUCAAUCAUUAUAUUUCCCUUUUCGCUAAAGGAUAUUGUGCUAGAGGUAGUAAGACUGGAAUUCGCCUUCGCACAAUUACAAUACCCUUCGAUGUUCGACAGACAACAACUUAAAAGCAAUUGAUGCAGAAGCCUUGCAGAUACGAAGCGUGCCUAUUUCAUGAACAAUAUAUUCAGCAUGUCUGCUGUCUUGAUAAACAAG